rnacentral:lncRNA from 1 species
ACACUUUUCUCCGGAGAAGACUGGCGCGUGGGAGCCCCCCUGCUGCACCUGGUUGACCCUGAUGGCUGGGACGGAGCCUGUCCCUCACUGGCGGGCACGAGCCACAGGCUCUUGCUACCUCGCUGUGCCGACCUCGCCACCCUGCCGCUUCCUGCUCUUGACCCCCUUCCCUGCCAGGACGUGGGGACACCAUGGACACAGAAACCGUAGAACAAGAUGCAAAGCUACCUCCUUCCCGUCUGCCGUCUCCUCCCCCCGUUGCAGAAUGCAUAGUUACAAUUCACGUUACAAAAUAAAGAAGCCAUGAAUGAAUGACUGCACGUGGGACCUUUUUGUUUUUUUCCUGAAAAAAGAAAAGUCCAACAACCUCUUCUUAAAUUCGGUAUGAAAAUUCACAUUUGCAUAAUGAUACAUUUCAAGGCCAUUAGAGAGGAACGAGCGUGAAAGCCCUGGGAAGAAGCUGCAGCCCCUCUCCUCCCUGUGUCUUCCUGAACGAAGCUGAAGGAAUCUGGCGGAGGGACUGUGUCCCUCUUGGAGGAGUUCUGAGGAAUUACGGAAACGGCCCUUGGCAUUCACUAUCUCUUUAGAAGACAGGGAGUGGGGACAAGCGGUGGAAUCGCUUAAAACAGACAUAAAACAAAGAGACACUGCAGAUUUCUGUGUUUGACCCUAACAGUUUUGAAGAAAUAAACUAGGAUUUCAGAGUUUUCUCUUUUCUUUCUCAGACACUUCAAUCUUAUUCUUUCCAAAGCCUUUCCUUGUGUGUAAUAAUACCCUGUUUGCAUACACGGCCACCCCAUGGGAUGUCCAUUUGGGAAAAGAACUGCCUUUUCAGGACACAGCCCGGCAGGGUAGAAAGGCAGGGGCUAGAAGACGCCUUCUGGACUUGUGCAGAUGUGUCACAGACAUCACCGCACUUCAAUUCUCCAGUGCUUAUAGAAAAACGAAAACCAGGACAGCCACGGCCACGCACGCGCACAAGCAGACACGGAGAAAACUAGGCGAUGCAGGCGGCUACGUUCAGCCGCACCCCCUGGACUAACCUGGUCUCUGUCAUCUGUGCACCGUCCCCUCCCCCAAGCCCAGACCCUCUUCCCUGCGACUCCGCACUGUGCAAUACUGAUGCAAAUGAAAACUCCACAGACGCCCCCGCGGACUCCUGAAGAAAAGCUGACUUCCCUAAAGACUAAGCUGACCGCCUGUUUUCUCCCAAUGCAGAGGUUCUUCCUAAAACAGAUGGUCUCUGAGCUCACAAAGGCACAUUCAGAAAUACUACACUUAAGUCACUGCCAACCAAUAAAGCAAAGCUUCCAGCAACUUGACAAGACAGAGGGGGUUGAUGGGAAAGAGAAGACACGAAGGAGGUCAGGAGCAGAAAAACAGGAACCUUUUCCUACUGGCCCGAGAGAGAGACUUUCCAAAUCACUGUAGUUGUCACCAGAGAAGGCAACGCAUGGUACCGGAGGGCGACGGCCUGGGGAAGGCUCUCAGUGUCCUACGGCAUCGAGACCAAAAAAAGCACACGUAGCUUCCUCAACUUCUGUUGGUUUGUUUCCUUUACAUGUAGCCCACUGCCUUUGGGGCCUGUCCAGAACCACUCCAAUUUCCAUACCGGGCAAGCGUCCUCCUGUCUGUGGAGCGACUGGACUACGAGCACACACACACGCCUUCCCCCUGCUUAGGACAUCUGGGUGUGUGUGCGAAGGCACUAAAGCGGCUUUAGAGAAAUUGCAGGCAGCAACCCCACCCACUCCCUUUACCUGUCAAGCUGGAGUUUCUUUCCCACUGGGAAGCUUGGAUGUUUAAAAGAAGCUGUGGUCACGCUUGGGAAUUCUAACCCCUGGCCCCAGGAGGGAAUACAAAAGUAGAAUUCAACAUCACCAAAAACUGAAAGGAAGUACUACUCCACCUCUUCGGCUGAGGGAUGGGGGUAACAGAGCAGCAGAUCUUCAAAACAGCAAUUAAAAUGAGCACAACAGGAGCUGGGAGCUAAAAAAGUAAAAUCACUUGUUCCUUCUUAGAUUCUUCUACUAUUUUCUCCUCCUCCCAUAACAAACGGAGGUAAGACAGACAUUCUUCAUGAAGAGAACAGUCCAUAGAUAUUUUUCCUCUAGUAAUGCCUACAUUUAAAAUUUGUUCCAAAAAUUAUUAACCUAUAUUUCCUAACUCUUUAUAUAGAUUCUCAGCAAUCCAACCGUACUAUUUUACAGAUUAGAGUUACUUUUUUUGUUGUUUAAGCUGUUGUUUCUUUCUUUCUUCCUUUCUUUUGAUGCUGGGGUUGGGGAGACAGGGAGAAAGAUUCCUCCAAAAAAAUAAAGUAAAAUAAAAUAAAUUCCUAGGGGAGAUUUUAGUUCAGUCUUAAAUGGAAAGGAACGAAGUGAUGGCAUACCCACUUAUACACCAAACACUCUCGCAUUAAAUUACACACGAUUUCAAAUGAAUCCGUGAUAGAGCUCUUAUAAAGCAUAAUCCUUCUCCCAUAUUUUUUAAGAUAGUGAAUUUACCUGUUGCUGCUAAAUUGAUAAUUUUUAAAAAAUAUUUCUUUCUACGUGUUUUAAAAUGUAUCAUCCCCAGUAUGACAAUAGUGUUUGGAGACUUUUCUUUUUACAUUUUUUUUUUAAGUAAAAAUUGUUUAAACUUUUUGAAGUUUCAGGAACUUGUAAAAGUUUAUUAACAGGAAAGAAACAGCCGUCUAUCUAGGAUAAGAUACAGUUAAAUAAACCAUCUUCCAAAAACUGGCUUCCUACCCUAGAAUUCCUGAGAAUGCUUGCAAAUUUUUAAAGCAGGAAAAUAAAUGUUAAAAACAAAAACAAAAAACACUGUUAAAUGCUCCCAGAGUUAGUCUUCAUCUAAAAUAUAUAUUUAUAUGU